UCAUGGGGUCACCAAGAAUUGGACAUGAUUGAGCAACUGAACAACAACAAAAAUCAAAGGAACCCCACACUAGGAGAACUUUUGGUCCCACAGAACUUUGGGCUUCUCCUUAUAAACAGCCCAGCAGGGGUCUCACUACUUUGAUUACUUGCGGUCUGCCUGUCUGUCCAGCGUGAAGGACCCAGACAACAGAAGGACGGGCCUCGCUUCUCACUGUGUGGUCUUACCAGACACAAUCUCCAUCAUGACCAUUAACAGCAGCGGGUUAAAAUGCAACCAUUACAAAUCAUCUACGCCAGCGCCUGAGUUGCUGAGUUAGAGGAGAAGAGGACAAACAGGAGAAAUCUAAGGGCAAGGUGAGGUGGGCGUGGGAGUCAGCGUCUCCUUUUCCGCCCCUUCUCCAAAACCUUCCCUAGUUUUAUUUGCCAUUUGCUCAGUCGAGUGUUUUCACACUCUCCUUUACCUCGAGGGCUGACUGUUGGACACGCCCAGGAGAAGAACGUGAAGUCCUGCAGAUAAAGCAGGCACUGACACAUCCCAGAGUCCAGGUCACUGGUUUUCUCUGAUGGGCUUCGCCAGGCUGGGUGGGAGAAGAGAAGCCCACCCAGAUAGCGCGUGGCUCAGCGGGAGUUAUAAGUCAGCUCUGCACUCCUCUGAGGAUUUAUAUUCAACUGAAGACGUGUCCAAUGCAGGACCUUAUGUUUCUCUGUUUUCUUUCUGCUUACAUGGAAAAAUAACAGUUAAUAUAGCCAACUAUCCCAAGGCAGAAGAGUAUUAUUAAAAAAGAAUACUUUGCAACAUUACUGAUUUCUCAAGACACUGUCAGAUAUUUUAAGAUUUGGAUUUAAUAAACCAUAACAUGAUUUCUUUU